rnacentral:rRNA from 1 species
GUGAGGAAUUUUCCGCAAUGGGCGAAAGCCUGACGGAGCAAUGCCGCGUGAAGGAUGAAGGCCUAUGGGUUGUAAACUUCUUUUCUCAGAAAAGAAUUAUGACGGUAUCUGAGGAAUAAGCAUCGGCUAACUCUGUGCCAGCAGCCGCGGUAAGACAGAGGAUGCAAGCGUUAUCCGGAAUGAUUGGGCGUAAAGCGUCUGUAGGUUGUUUAAAAAGUAUUCUGUCAAAGAUUAGGGCUUAACCCUGGAUAGGCAGAAUAAAUUGUUAAGCUGGAGUUUGGUAGAGGCAGAGGGAAUUCCCGGUGGAGCGGUGAAAUGCGUAGAUAUCGGGAGGAACACCAAAGGCGAAGGCACUCUGCUGGGCCAAUACUAACACUGAGAGACGAAAGCGAGGGGAGCAAAUGGGAUUAGAAACCCUGGUAGUCC